AUGGGGAAGGUGAGCAUGCCGCGGCUCGCGCUGGCGGCCCUGGUGCUGGCGAGCCUCGUGCUGUCGGCCCAGGAGGCCGACGGGGCACGGCCCGCGUCGACCGACGGCGUCAUCAGCUACAGCGCUCUCCUGCGCGGGAACAGCGCCAACACCUCCGACGCCAGCGUCCGGCCUUCUGCGGUGGCCAACCCUUACACGCGCGGCUGCAGCAAGCUCAACCGUUGCCGCGGUUGA
rnacentral:rRNA from 1 species